ACUGAACCAGCCAUGCCGCGUGCAGGAAGAAUGCCUUGGGUUGUAAACUGCUUUUAUAUGGGAAGAAUAAGGCGUACGUGUACGUUGAUGACGGUACCAUAUGAAUAAGCAUCGGCUAACUCCGUGCCAGCAGCCGCGGUAAUACGGAGGAUGCGAGCGUUAUUCGGAAUCAUUGGGUUUAAAGGGUCUGUAGGCGGGCUAUUAAGUCAGGGGUGAAAGGUUUCAGCUUAACUGAGAAAUUGCCUUUGAUACUGGUAGUCUUGAAUAUCUGUGAAGUUCUUGGAAUGUGUAGUGUAGCGGUGAAAUGCUUAGAUAUUACACAGAACACCGAUUGCGGAGGCAGGGGACUAACAGACGAUUGACGCUGAGAGACGAAAGCGUGGGGAGCGAACAGGAUUAGAUACCCUGGUAGUCCACGCUGUAAACGAUGGAUACUAGCUGUUUGGAGUAAUUUGAGUGGCUAAGCGAAAGUGAUAAGUAUCCCACCUGGGGGGAGUACGCACGCAGUGUGAAACUCAAGGAAUUGACGGGGGCCCGCACAAGC
rnacentral:rRNA from 1 species